rnacentral:rRNA from 1 species
AUUGAACGCUGGCGGCAGGCCUAACACAUGCAAGUCGAGCGGAGCGGCGGACGGGUGAUUAAUUCCUAGUAAUCUGCCUGGUAGUGGGGGAUAACGUCCUGCACCGGGCCCUAUUACCGCAUACUCUCAGAUGCGCCUAGUUCGGAUUAGCUAGUUGGUGGGGUAAAGGCCUACCAAGGCGACGAUCCUUAACUGGACUGAGAGGAUGAUCAGUCACACUGGAACUGAGACACGGUCCAGACUCCUACGGGAGGCAGAAGUGGGGAAUAUUGGACAAUGGGCGAAAGCCUGAUCCAGCCAUGCCGCGUGUGUGAAGAAGGUCUUCGGAUUGUAAAGCACUUUAAGUUGGGAGGCGGUAGCAACAGAAUAAGCACCGGCUAACUUCGUGCCAGCAGCCGCGGUAAUAG